CCCCCCAGCCACUAAGUUAUUUGUGCAUCCCAAUAUCAAAGUUCUUUUUUCUGCCCCUGGUCAUGGCAAGGAAUUUGAUUCAAGGACACUGGAAGACUGGGUGAGAAAGAAUCAAGCCGAUGAAAUUUACAUGUUUUCAUCUCAAAUACUCGAAAUCGUUCGAGUUCUGGAGCUGGCCAACAGUCUAUAUCCACCAUCAUGUACUUCACUACAGGGUUUACUUUUGUCAACCAUGAGGAGAUAAAUGAAUACAGAUACAGAAGAAAAGUUUCAAAAGAAAAUUUUGAAUGAACGGAUAGCCUAGUUAUUAGGCGGUAUAGCAAUUCUUGAGCUAUAUUUCACCUCUUGACAUUGGCAUUUUGCACGUCCAGACACUCAGGAGUAAACUUAUUCUCUGCUGCAUCAUAUUUCACUAUAAGUGGGAGCACAAACAGUCAUUGAGUUAAAGGAUGAACAGCUGAAGAUGCACUAUAUGCAACUGUGGUAGCUGAUUCUGUUUCUGCUCCAUAGAUAUUGAUUGAGAAUGCUUCUAUUCUGUGUUUCUAUCCACCUUUUAUGAGGCAAAAAUCGAGGAAGGAAUGCACAGUUGGUCAAGGUUAUUGCCUCCUAAGGCUGUCUGAAAAAGAUCGAUAGUAUUCAAGUAGGUUUGGACAACAUAGAUGGUUACUGUCUGUUUUUCCUUGUACAAGUAUAUGUCAAAUUCAAUUUUAAGUCUUCAUAAAAUCCAGAGCUAUUUCUGA